rnacentral:rRNA from 1 species
AAAUUGAAGAGUUUGAUCAUGGCUCAGAUUGAACGCUGGCGGCAGGCCUAACACAUGCAAGUCGAACGGUAACAGGAAGCAGCUUGCUGCUUUGCUGACGAGUGGCGGACGGGUGAGUAAUGUCUGGGAAACUGCCUGAUGGAGGGGGAUAACUACUGGAAACGGUGGCUAAUACCGCAUAACGUCGCAAGACCAAAGAGGGGGACCUUCGGGCCUCUUGCCAUCAGAUGUGCCCAGAUGGGAUUAGCUUGUUGGUGAGGUAACGGCUCACCAAGGCGACGAUCCCUAGCUGGUCUGAGAGGAUGACCAGCCACACUGGAACUGAGACACGGUCCAGACUCCUACGGGAGGCAGCAGUGGGGAAUAUUGCACAAUGGGCGCAAGCCUGAUGCAGCCAUGCCGCGUGUAUGAAGAAGGCCUUCGGGUUGUAAAGUACUUUCAGCGGGGAGGAAGGUGUUGUGGUUAAUAACCGCAGCAAUUGACGUUACCCGCAGAAGAAGCACCGGCUAACUCCGUGCCAGCAGCCGCGGUAAUACGGAGGGUGCAAGCGUUAAUCGGAAUUACUGGGCGUAAAGCGCACGCAGGCGGUCUGUCAAGUCGGAUGUGAAAUCCCCGGGCUCAACCUGGGAACUGCAUUCGAAACUGGCAGGCUUGAGUCUUGUAGAGGGGGGUAGAAUUCCAGGUGUAGCGGUGAAAUGCGUAGAGAUCUGGAGGAAUACCGGUGGCGAAGGCGGCCCCCUGGACAAAGACUGACGCUCAGGUGCGAAAGCGUGGGGAGCAAACAGGAUUAGAUACCCUGGUAGUCCACGCCGUAAACGAUGUCUACUUGGAGGUUGUGCCCUUGAGGCGUGGCUUCCGGAGCUAACGCGUUAAGUAGACCGCCUGGGGAGUACGGCCGCAAGGUUAAAACUCAAAUGAAUUGACGGGGGCCCGCACAAGCGGUGGAGCAUGUGGUUUAAUUCGAUGCAACGCGAAGAACCUUACCUGGUCUUGACAUCCACGGA